ACGGGAGGCAGCAGUGGGGAAUCUUGCGCAAUGGGCGAAAGCCUGACGCAGCAACGCCGCGUGCGGGAUGAAGGCCUUCGGGUUGUAAACCGCUUUCAGUGGGGACGAAAUCAGACGGUACCCACAGAAGAAGCCCCGGCCAACUACGUGCCAGCAGCCGCGGUAACACGUAGGGGGCGAGCGUUGUCCGGAAUCAUUGGGCGUAAAGAGCUCGUAGGCGGCUCAAUAAGUCGGGUGUGAAACCCUCAGGCUCAACCUGGGGACGCCACCCGAUACUGUUGUGGCUAGAGUCCAGUAGGGGAGUGUGGAAUUUCCGGUGUAGCGGUGAAAUGCGCAGAUAUCGGAAGGAACACCAGCGGCGAAGGCGGCACUCUGGGCUGGUACUGACGCUGAGGAGCGAAAGCGUGGGUAGCAAACAGGAUUAGAUACCCUGGUA
rnacentral:rRNA from 1 species